UAGUUUAAUGACACAUUUUGAAUUAUAACCUUUAACAACUCUACAACACUAUAUGCCCUGGCUAAGUAUUGACGUUAUCUGGGUUCGCUUGGUUACGCCUGGGGAAAGUUUGCUAGUAUCGUCAGCCAUUGAUUCCAACCGUCGAAGAAGAAGAGGAAUCUAACAUCACAUGAGAAGCACAACCAGGGUCACCUCUCUGGUUUCUGCUCCUGUUACACUCUUUCCAGAGGAAUAAGGUGUAAUAAUCAGAGUGGAUUAGAUGUUUUAGUCGGUCUUCGGCAGCUUGUGUUUCCACUUCAACCAGAUAUCCAGCGACAGAUGACAGCAGAUGACAGUGACAGACAGGGUGUUGUUGCUAAGUGAUGUGUUGCUAAGUGAUAAGAGAUAAACUGGCUGAAUAACGGCUGUCAGGAGCAGAUACAAACGGACAAUAACGGUCUUAAACUCGACCAUGUAGCGGCAAGAAGUUGACCUGUAACCGCUGAGAGGACUAACAUGUUUUACUCAACAAGAAACAGCUCAACCACUGAGUCUGACUGACCACUGUAAGGAUAUUUACUUAACUAUCUAUCUACACUUCAACUUUGGGACGAUGCGGCUUUUAACCCGCAUGUCGAGGUGCUCCAGACUCAAACAGCCACAGAGGAUGUUGUUGUGGCUGGAGCACCGUGUGACUCUGUCAGCUGCCCUCCGGAGGAAGAGACAUCAGACAUCAGUCCUCCAUCAUCCGACACCUGGCUUCCCUCUCUCCUCCUCCUCAUCUUCACCUGGGUGCUUCAUGUCUGUGCUGUCCUGCAGUCCACCACUCAGAGGUCUCUCCAGGACACUCACACACACAACUGUUGCCUUUGCCAGCUCUUCUUCUUCUUCUUCAGCCGCCUCCACACCUACACCUGCAGCCGGGUCGGUGAAGACGGAGCAGACGGACACGGAGAGGGAGAGGGAGAGCGGACAGACACCCACCACGGUCCCCCUGGAGGACGUCAAGAGGAUCCUGCGACUGGCUCACCCGGAGAGAUGGAGCCUGGCAGCUGCUUUGGGCUUCCUAACUGUCUCCAGUGCAGUAACCAUGUCAGCUCCGUUCUUCCUGGGUAAAGUGAUUGACACCAUUUACACUACUGGAACAGACACAGAGACAAUGACGGCCUCCCUGACAUCAUUAUGCAUCAUGCUAUCGGGUGUGUUCCUGUGUGGCGGGGCAGCCAACGCUGCCAGAGUCUACCUCAUGCAGACCUCAGGCCAACAGAUUGUUCGUAAUCUGCGUGCCUCCGUCUUCUCCUCCAUCCUCAGACAGGAAGUGGCGUUUUUUGACAGGAAUAGGACCGGCGAGCUUAUCAACCGCCUCUCCGCUGACACGGCCGUGGUGGGCCGCUCCAUCACUGACAACCUGUCAGACGGGCUGAGAGCUGUCGCCCAGGCAGCUGCUGGUGUCAGUAUGAUGUUCUAUGUCUCUCCCAGUCUUGCGAGCUUUGUGUUGCUGAUCGUUCCUCCCAUGGCCGGUCUUGCUGUAGUCUAUGGCAGAUACCUUCGCUCCAUCUCCAAAUGCACACAGGACGCACUUGCACAAGCCACACAGUUGGCUGAAGAGCGAAUCAGCAACCUGCGGACUGUCAGGGCUUUUGGUAAGGAGCUGUCAGAGGUAAACACGUACACAGAGAAGACAGACGAAGUCCUCAGGCUGGCCAGGAGGGAGGCUGUACUACGAGCUGGCUUCUUUGGAGUGACUGGUCUCAGUGGUAACAUCAUGAUCCUGUCAGUGCUGUACAAAGGAGGCCUUAUGAUGGCCAGCCAGCACAUGACUGUAGGGGAGCUCUCAUCGUUCCUCAUGUACACCUUCUGGGUGGGCAUCAGUAUUGCAGGUAUGAGUUCCUUCUACUCUGAGCUGAUGAAGGGGUUUGGAGCAGGAGCCAGACUGUGGGAGCUGAUGGACAGAAAGCCGGAGUUUCCUCUAAAUGAAGGCCUCGUGCUUCCUCGAGACCAGCUGAAGGGUCAGUUGGAGUUCUCCGACGUCUCCUUUGCCUACCCGACCCGUACCGAGGCUCCUAUUUUCCAGAACCUCAGUUUGCUGGUCCCAGCUGGUACCAUCAUGGCUGUAGUGGGACCCAGCGGCUCUGGAAAAUCUACCUUGGUCUCGCUGCUGCUCAGGCUGUACGACUCCGAUGCUGGUGUCAUCACUAUAGAUGGUCAUGACAUCAGAGAUCUGAAUCCCUAUUGGCUCAGGAGUCACAUUGGAACGGUCAGCCAGGAGCCCGUGCUGUUCUCUUGCUCUAUAAGAGACAACAUAGCGUACGGUGCAGUGGACCCAGACGCUGUGUCCACAGAGGACAUCUACAGGGCAGCCAGAGUGGCCAACGCCUUUAAUUUCGUCCAGGCUUUUCCUAAGGGCUUUAACACUGUAGUGGGGGAGAAAGGAGUGCUGCUGUCAGGUGGUCAGAAGCAGAGGAUAGCUAUAGCCAGAGCUCUACUCAAGAAUCCUAAGAUCCUGCUGUUAGACGAGGCUACCAGUGCACUGGAUUCAGAGAAUGAGUUCCUGGUCCAGCAGGCUUUGGAGCGUCUAAUGGAAGGGAGGACAGUCGUGAUCAUCGCUCACCGUCUGUCGACCAUCCAGAAUGCGAACGCCGUCGCGGUGCUGGACCAGCGGCGUAUAGUCGAGUGUGGCCAGCACACAGAGCUGCUAGGCAACAGGCAGGGACUGUUCAGAAAACUGAUGGAGAAACAGGCGUUUCUACAAGAUGAACAGAAACGAGCUCUUCGCUGAGAGGACGAGGAACUACAGACGAGCGGAUGAGGAAGAGGGAGAAAUCAGGAGUGUGUCAGGCUGUCAGUAAGUGGCGCUGUUGCUUCAACAACUUGUGCUGCAGUCAGGCUCAGAAGUGUUCACUGCUCAGCUGCUGCAGGUCGUGUUGACAGGGUGGUGAGUUUCUCAUGCAAAUAGACACACUGCUGGCACAUAGAUGGGUCCUGGCAAAGAAGGUUAAGAGUCUAUCAAUUGGGUGAACCCCUCCAGCAGAGGCAGCAGUUGCUCCUGCUCUGCGGAGGACAGGCUCAGCUGGCUCAUGCAGCUCACCAGGUGCCGCUCAGCCCUGCAUGGGUUUCCAAUUCCAGCUCCAUGUGCUGCAGCAGCUCCCCUC